ensembl:lncRNA
UUAAAACAAUCAUUUAUUUCAAAAGAGAUAAUAACGAAUCAGAUCCCUAAUUAUGUGUCCACCAGGGCACAUGUCCCAACCUGUUUAACGUGUUGGGUCGUCACUAGUUCAGUCUGGUACCCUGAGCACCGAGGUAGCAGACGCAUGGUCAGUGAUAUGGGCUACACCCUGUACCCUGAACCCUGGUACAGGGUACAGGGUAGCAGAAGCAUGGUCAGUGAUAUGGGCUACACCCUGUACCCUGAACCCUGGUACAGGGUUCAGGGUACAGGUUAGCAGACCCGUGAUAUGAGCACAGCCUGUACCCUGUACCAUAGAGGUAUCAGAACCCUGAUCAGUGAUAUGAGCUACACCCUGUACCCUGUACAUCGAGGUAGCAGACCCCUGAUCAGUGAUAUGAGCUACACCCUGUACAUCGAGGUAGCAGACCCGGGAUCAGUGAUAUGAACUACACCCUGUACCCUGUACAUCGAGGUAGCAGACCCGUGAUCAGUGAUAUGAGCGCAGUCUGUGUUAGUCCUGGGAUGAGGCUUAAAGGUAAGACUGAUGAGGCUACGUUCCACAGACUUUUCCUUUUGACUUGUAUGUAUUGCAGCUAACUGUUGCACGCAGUAUGCAUACAAUUUGGGCAAACUACAGAUGAUUUCACGUACAAGCACACCUGUAGUGCCACCCAUCGACUUCUACAGGCUCAGUCGAUGGGACUUAUAUGGAUUAUGGGGCAGAAUAGCCCAAGAAGCAUGCUGAAUGCAUACUGCAAAAUGGUAUUUUUGGCAUACUGCAUUUACCAUACUAUGUAUUGGGACAUACUUAAUACUAGUAUGGUAGUAUGGGUAUUGGACUGCAGGGUGAGACCAUGGACAGUAAAUCUCCUCACCCCAUGUUGACUAUCACGCCAGGUCACAUCAUUUAUUAACACAUUCACAUACAAAAUGGCAAAGGACAACAAUGAAGGAGGCAAUCCGUGGCGACCGAGCAAAUUAUUAGUACACAGCAGUGUUCAGGACCCUCGCUGGUGGUCCAGACAGACGGACAGAAGUCCUCCUGAGAAUCUUAGACCACCUCUUCCAUGUGGGGUGCUGGUACGUUCUCUCACAGAGAGUGACAUCAAAAGUGGAUCCAAGCAGACUUUCUUAGGUUUAAGAAACCUUUGCGUUCUUCCAGUUUGUAGCCUUCUGGACACUUAAGGAUAAUGCUACACCUUCAUCAGCUCAAGGCUGAUACGCCUCAAUUUGCAGACAUGGAACCCAUAAUAUACUGUGACCCCCGGUACAGGCUAUACCAACCCCUAGGACCCCUAGGACAGAGAGAGAGAGAGAGAGAGAGAGAGAGAGAGAGAGAGAGAGAGACAGAGAACAGAGAACAGACAGAGAGAGAGAGAGAGAAGAGAGAGAGAGAGAAGAGAGAGAGAGAGAGAAGAGAGA